GAUGAACGCUGGUGGCGUGCCUAAUACAUGCAAGUCGAGCGAAGCGGGGACGGGUGAGUAACACGUGGAUAAAACCCUAUAAGACUGGGAAAACUUCGGGGAAACGGAGCUAAACCGGAAACUUAGAGAUGGUUCCGCGAUGCAUUAGCUAGUGGGUAAGGUAACGGCUUACCAAGGCAACGAUGCAUAGCCGACCUGAGAGGGUGACCGGCCACACUGGAACUGAGACACGGUCCAGACUCCUACGGGAGGCAGCAGUAGGGAAUCUUCCGCAAUGGGCGAAAGCCUGACGGAGCAAUGCCGCGUGAGUGAUGAAGGCCUUCGGGUCGUAAAGCUCUGUUAGCAGGGAAGCGUUACCUGAUCAGAAAGCCCCGGCUAACUCCGUGCCAGCAGCCGCGGUAAUAC
rnacentral:rRNA from 1 species